rnacentral:lncRNA from 1 species
UCGCCAGAAAACUUCCAAAAAUCCACAGGUAUCUCAUCAGGCCCCGUCGCCCUACCCCUUCGCAUCCUAGGAAUAACCUCUCUAACCUCCUCUACCUUAAAACGUCUACAAUAACUAAAAUCCCAACACUCCUCUGAGUGCUCCAGCUCCCCUAACACAAUAGCUCUAUCCCCUUCGUCAUUCAAGAGCCUAUGAAAAUACGACUGCCAUCUAUUCUUAAUGUGGCCGUCCUCCACCAACA